CCGAACAAGGAGAGUGUCAGCACUUUGACAACCUCAGUUUCUAUUGUAACUUCACCUGCUGAUCAAGGUAUUGUAGAGAAAGAGUCCAGAUGGACCCAGAGGACGCCAUCACUCAUCACAACCACAGGUCUGCCUACAAGUAG